rnacentral:lncRNA from 1 species
AAUAUGAGUUCCAAUUACACACAUAUAUAACUGAGACCAAAAGUGGCAAAAAAAUACAAAAGAUCAAAAUACAAAAGGGUCACUUCUUUCACUAUGCGAUUGGACUCAUUAGAGUGCAGGACAAAUCAUGCACUCAAGGUUUGUGGAUCCAUAGAAUCCUCAUAGACUUCAAAGGAUAGGCUAGCGAUUGGUUCCUCACUCUUUUCCUCAUUUGAGGGGAAGGUAUUGAAAUGGGAGUUC